rnacentral:rRNA from 1 species
CCUCCGGGCGCCCAACCUCCCACCCGUGACUACCUAACACUGUUGCUUCGGCGGGGAGCCCUCUCGGGGGCGAGCCGCCGGGGACUACUGAACUUCAUGCCUGAGAGUGAUGCAGUCUGAGUCUGAAUAUAAAAUCAGUCAAAACUUUCAACAAUGGAUCUCUUGGUUCCGGCAUCGAUGAAGAACGCAGCGAACUGCGAUAAGUAAUGUGAAUUGCAGAAUUCAGUGAAUCAUCGAGUCUUUGAACGCACAUUGCGCCCCCUGGCAUUCCGGGGGGCAUGCCUGUCCGAGCGUCAUUGCUGCCCAUCAAGCCCGGCUUGUGUGUUGGGUCGUCGUCCCCCCCGGGGGACGGGCCCGAAAGGCAGCGGCGGCACCGUGUCCGGUCCUCGAGCGUAUGGGGCUUUGUCACCCGCUCGAUUAGGGCCGGCCGGGCGCCAGCCGACGUCUCCAACCAUUUUCUUCAGGUUGACCUCGGAUCAGGUAGGGAUACCCGCUGAACUUAAGCAUAUCAAUAAGCGGGGGAAAAGAAAA